UACGUAGGGGGCAAGCGUUGUCCGGAUUUAUUGGGCGUAAAGAGCUCGUAGGCGGUUCCGUAAGUCGUGAAGUCAAAUCUCUGGGCUCAACCCAGAAUCGCUUCGGAUACUGCGGUGACUGGAGUCCGGUAGGGGAGUGUGGAAUUCCUGGUGUAGCGGUGAAAUGCGCAGAUAUCAGGAGGAACACCAACAGCGAAGGCAGCACUCUGGGCCGGUACUGACGCUGAGGAGCGAAAGCAUGGGGAGCGAACAGG
rnacentral:rRNA from 1 species